rnacentral:rRNA from 1 species
UACGUAGGGUGCGAGCGUUGUCCGGAAUUACUGGGCGUAAAGAGCUCGUAGGUGGUUUGUAGCGUCGUCUGUGAAAUUCCGGGGCUUAACCUCGGGCGUGCAGGCGAUACGGGCAAUACUUGAGUGCUGUAGGGGAGACUGGAAUUCCUGGUGUAGCGGUGGAAUGCGCAGAUAUCAGGAGGAACACCGAUGGCGAAGGCAGGUCUCUGGGCAGUAACUGACGCUGAGAAGCGAAAGCAUGGGUAGCGAACAGGAUUAGA